rnacentral:piRNA from 1 species
UGUAGAUUGCUUUUGGCAAGAUAGCCA